UUCUGUAUUCUCUGAGCACAGUGACUGAGGUGAACAUGAUCUAGGUCCUGUUACUGGCAAAGUACUCUGAUGGAAUAAUGCAAUGAAAUGAGGUACAGGUGAGUCAGGGGACAGUGGUCUAAUCUCAAUCUCUGAUAUUAUAGACUGCGGAGAGUCAGAUCUUUGCUCUGGAUAAAGGUCGGACUGACACAAUUCAUUUUCAACAUCCAAAGUGACUGAUUCUGGAGUGGAUGGUCGAGAGCCUGUAAAUGGCAUGAUAAAUGUGUGUGUGGCUAUUGUGAACUCAGGAAUAGGUGAAUCAGGGGAAAGAGGUCUGUUUUCAUUAAGUGAUGUGAUUGACUCCAAAGAGGAUCUUCUAAGAUCAAUCACCAAGUCAUCAAAUACAUCGGCCUGCAUAUAAAUUUCUGAUAGCACUGAUUCAGGGGAUAUUGAUGUGUAACCUGUUACCAUUGUUGGUUCAAAAUGAAAGUUAUAAUAUUGAGAUAUUGGAGAAUCAGGGGAUAAAGAUCUAAAGUCAGGUCUUUCAUCAUUUACAGAUUCUGUUGAUUCUGGAGAAGAAUCUAGCGU